rnacentral:rRNA from 1 species
GGAAUCAACGCUGGCGGCGUGCCUAACACAUGCAAGUCGCACGAGAAAGGGGAGCAAUCCCUGAGUAAAGUGGCGCACGGGUGAGUAACACGUGAAUGAUCUACCUCCGAGUGGGGAAUAACUGAGAGAAAUCUUAGCUAAUACCGCAUAACACUUACGAGUCAAAGCAGCAAUGCGCUUGGAGAGGAGUUCGCGGCCGAUUAGUUAGUUGGCGGGGUAAUGGCCCACCAAGACGAUGAUCGGUA